AACGCACCUUGCGCUCCUUGGUAUUCCGAGGAGCAUGCCUGUUUGAGUGUCAUGAUAAUCUCAAGUCAACAUUUUAGUUCAUCUGAUUUGUUGAUUUGGACUUGGGGGUAGUGCUGAUCUUUGUAUUGGCUCCUCUUAAAUGUAUUAGCUGGAUUACUGUCAGUAAUAGUCCAUGGUGUUGUAAUCUCGGCGCUGUGACUUAACUGAACGACAAUCUGCUUCUAGUGUAGUUGCCUUUGGCAAUAUUUGUACACUUGACCUCAAAUCAGGUAGGACUACCCGCUGAACUUAA
rnacentral:misc_RNA from 1 species